rnacentral:rRNA from 1 species
AGAUAGGUAACGUACCUCGAAGAGUGGGAUAACAGUUGGAAACGACUGCUAAUACUACAUAUGCCUUUAAUACAUAAGUAUGCAAGGGUAAACGUUUUUCGCUUCGAGAUCGGCCUACUCCCCUAUCAGGUAGUUGGUGGUGUAAGAGACCACCAAGCCAAUGGACGGGUAGCUGGUUUGAGAGGAUGAUCAGCCACACUGGUACUGAGACACGGACCAGACUCCGUACGGGAGGCAGCAGGUGGGGAAUAUUGCACAAUGGACGAAAGUCUGAUGCAGCAACGCCGCGUGGAGGAUGACGGUUU